CCGGAAGCAACCAUUUUCUGCAGAUGUUUUGAACCAAAAUCGUGCUAAAUCAAAACAUCUAAAUGUGAAAUCAAAUGUUUUAUUUUCUCAUGCAGUGGUUGGACAUUAUUUCUCUACUCUACCCGGUUUUUCUGUAAGUGUCUCGCCCAACGCGAUCCCCAGUCAUCAUGGACAGUCACAGUGAGGUAUCAGACCUCGACCCAGCCCCUGGCCCUGACAGACCUGUAGGACCCAUGAUGGAGGGGGGAAACGCACCUGUCUACUGUAUCUGUCGCAGACCUGACAUCAACUGCUUCAUGAUUGGUUGUGACUGCUGUAACGAGUGGUUUCAUGGUGACUGCAUCGGCAUAUCAGAGAAGGCAGCUAAAGUCAUCCGGGUGUGGUACUGUGAGAAAUGUCGUGCCAAAGACGGGACCCUGGAGAUAAAGUAUCGUCCCAAGAAGACCAAGGAGAAGACAGAGAAGGAGACGGGAGACCAGGGGAAGAAGGAGACGGGAGACCAGGAGAAGAAGGAGACGGGAGACCAGGAGAAGACGGAGAAGGAGACGGGAGACCAGGAGAAGACGGAGAAGGAGACGGGAGACCAGGAGAAGACGGAGACGGGAGACCAGGAGAAGACGGAGACGGGAGACCAGGAGAAGACGGAGAAGGAGACGGGAGACCAGGAGAAGACAGAGAAGCAGCAUCACACUCCAGACCUGAAUAUAGAACACCGCAGAGGUUCACGGGUGAAGCGUUCGGCCCGUAUGUGUGGAGAGUGUGAGCCGUGCAGGAGGACUGAGGACUGUGCUCAGUGUGAUUUCUGUAAAGACAUGAAGAAGUUUGGAGGACCCAAUAAGAUCAGACAGAAGUGCAGGCUCCGGCAGUGUGACGUUCGAGCUCGGAAAAUGCUCCGUGUAAAAGAUGAGGAGUUUGCCCUGUCUGGUCGGGGGGCCAGAGGGAGUCUGAGAAGAGGAGGGCCUCUGUUUGAUGACUACAGUGAGAAUGAGAUGGAGCUCUACCAGCAGUACAAGGCUGCAGGCUACGAGGAUAACAAUAUGCCAUGGCAUAGUGAUGAUGAGGAAGCGGCCUUUGACCCCGUGCAGCGGAAGAGGGCUGUGAAGGUCAAGCACGUCAAGAGACGAGAGAAGAGAUGGGACAAGAAGGACAAGAAAGAGAAAGAGGUGCGUCGCCACAAGCAGAAGCAGAAGUACCGUGAGCGACUGAAGCACAGUGAGAGGGGUGGCGGGGGCGGCGGCGAGGCUCGGGGGGACAGUGGUGGAGGAGGAGGGGGGAUGAGACAGUGUUUGGGACCAGGGUGUGUGGAGGUCGCCAGGGCCGGCUCCAAAUACUGCUCAGAGGACUGCGGCAUGAAACUGGCUACCAAUCGUAUCUAUGAGAUCUUGCCUCAGAGGAUACAGCAGUGGCAGCAGUCUCCCUGUAUAGCCGAGGAGCAGGGCAAGAAGCUGCUGGAGCGAAUCAGGAGAGAUCAGCAGUCAGCCCGCCUGAGACUCACGGACAUGGAGAAACGCUUCCACGAGCUGGAGGGGAUCAUCGCCAAGGCCAAGCAACAGGUGGUGCAACAGGACGAAGAGGUGAAUGAGGCAGAAGGGGACACAGAUACAGACCUGCAGAUAUUCUGCGUGUCCUGCAGUCACCCCGUCAACCCCAAGGUGGCGCUAAGACACAUGGAGAGAUGCUACGCUAAGUAUGAGAGCCAGACCUCCUUCGGCUCCAUGUACCCCACACGCAUCGAAGGUGCAACCAGACUGUUCUGUGACGUAUACAACCCUCAGAGUAAAACCUACUGUAAGAGACUGCAGGUGUUGUGUCCUGAACACUCUAGAGACCCUAAGGUUACUGUGGACGAGGUGUGUGGCUGUCCCCUGGUGAGAGACGUCUUCCAGCCCACAGGAGAGUACUGCCGGGUGUCGAAGCGCAAGUGUAACAAGCAUUACUGCUGGGAGAAACUGAGGAGGGCUGAGGUGGACCUGGAGAGAGUCAGAGUGUGGUACAAGCUGGACGAGCUCUUUGAGCAGGAGAGGAAUGUCCGAACAGCCAUGACCAAUAGAGCAGGUCUCCUGGCCCUCAUGCUGCACCAGACCAUCCAGCACGACCCUGUUACCACCGACCUCCGCACCGCCAAGGAUAGGUAGACCCCCAAUCCUCCUGCCCAUGACCCUUGAACUAUCCCCUGACCACGGACCUCCUACGGUUGCUACUGGCUUACGUACCGCCAAUGAUAUGUAGAGGACCACCCCUCCCCCCCUCGAUCACGAGCCUCUGCAUCUCCUCAGGACAGAUAGACACCUCCCCCCCACAAGACCCUCAACACCACGACCCUGGCGGUGGCCCAGUCACCACCAUCCCGACUUCCGAACCCACCUUCAAGGACAGAUUGAACCAAGCCGUUACCAUGACUACACCUUGACCACCAAGACCCUGUCACCAUGACAACCUGUCACCACGACCCGGGGAUUGGACAGAUGAACUACAGACCCCAGAUGACCAAGCCUCAGAACCAGAACCGUGUGGAAACGUCAACACUCAUUUUGAAUAAAUAUUAACUCAUUUAUUGGU